UACGGUGGGGGCAAGCGUUGUUCGGAAUUACUGGGCGUAAAGGGCUCGUAGGCGGCCAACUAAGUCGGACGUGAAAUCCCCAGGCUCAACUUGGGAACUGCAUCCGAUACUGGAUGGCUUGAAUUCGGGAGAGGGAUGCAGAAUUCCAGGUGUAGCGGUGAAAUGCGUAGAUAUCUGGAGGAACACCGGUGGCGAAGGCGGCAUCCUGGACCAACACUGACGCUGAGGAGCGAAAGCCAGGGGAGCAAACGGG
rnacentral:rRNA from 1 species